GGGGAUCCCUGCCUACCUGAGGCCUUCCAAAGGAAGUUGAAGCUGGCCUGCUCUCACCAUGACGCAGUUGGGCUUGUUAACUGACCACACGUUGACCCGACAGUCAUCUCCUCCAGUUGCCAGCAGCCGGCCCGAGCUCUUCCCCAGGACUAACGAGGACACGUUGCUGCUGUGAGCCACGAUCUCUUCUGCAGAAAAUGAAGCAGUCAGGAUGGUCUGCAUUAAGGACUUUCCACCCCAUUCCUCCCAAAGAGAUUAAAACAAUUCUUGCUCCAGAAAGCCUUUCUGGUUUCCACUGGAAAAGUGGCAGCAGCAUGCAACUCAGAUAAGAAGUCACAGUAUUAUCUGGCUUCAAACAGUCCUCCUGGGCUCUGUCUGCUGUACUUAAGAUGUUUGCUGGCCAGGCUUCCUAAAAGCAUCUUCUCUCCCCAGCAGCAGUGCAGUAGCUUUUAAAGACUGCAGCAACCUGCUCACAGAGGCCGCUUUUCCUUCUGCACUGAGGUGGGUCUCAGUCAGCAGAGCUGCUUCAGAAGCUGCAAUGAUAAGCAGCAGUCACAGACUCCUAGAAAAGGCCUCUAACUAGGAGAGCUGUGUCCAACCCCAGAGGGACUCAGUUCAGUUUGUUACCUGACAGAGCAAAAAGCCAGACUCAUCAGAGGGAGAAGUGGAGCUGUGCUUUGGCAUAGGCUGUGCUAAAGUGAAAUUCAGCAAUUCAGCUUGCCACUGUGAUAAAGGAUGGGCAUUUAAAGGGGCACAAAGAAGCAAACGUGGCUGAUAUGGAAAGAUUGUUAAGAACUGAAGGGCUGAUAGAAACACUAGAGUUCUAGGAAAGAAAGCCUUACAAUACAAGCGUGUGGCAAAAGAUAAGCCAAAGAAGCCCUUUUGCACAGACAUCAAUUUUUAUAAUGGAUUUUAAAAUCCACCCAAAAUUUUGGCAGGAGCUUUUGGCAGAUGUAUUUAUCAAUUUCUUCCCUUGACUGCUCUCUGCUUUGAGAGUUUAAU